AGGGUUCGAUUCUGGCUCAGGAUGAACGCUAGCUACAGGCUUAACACAUGCAAGUCGAGGGGCAGCAUGAGAUUAGCUUGCUAAUCUGAUGGCGACCGGCGCACGGGUGCGUAACACGUAUCCAAUCUACCCAUGGCUCGGGGAUAGCCUUUCGAAAGAAAGAUUAAUACCCGAUGGUCUGCGAUUGAGACAUCUCGAUUGCAGUAAAGACUUGUCGGCGAUGGAUGGGGAUGCGUCCGAUUAGCUAGUUGGCGGGGUAACGGCCCACCAAGGCGACGAUCGGUAGGGGUUCUGAGAGGAAGGUCCCCCACACUGGAACUGAGACACGGUCCAGACUCCUACGGGAGGCAGCAGUGAGGAAUAUUGGUCAAUGGUCGGGAGACUGAACCAGCCAAAGUAGCGUGAGGGACGACGGCCCUACGGGUUGUAAACCUCUUUUGUAUGGGAAUAAAGUGAGGCACGUGUGCCUUUUUGUAUGUACCUUACGAAUAAGCAUCGGCUAAUUCCGUGCCAGCCGCGGC
rnacentral:rRNA from 1 species